rnacentral:rRNA from 1 species
GAAUCCCCCCUGCAUGUGUAAGUAUAAAUAAAUAACUUUGAAACUGCGAAUGGCUCAUUAUAUCAGUUAUAGUUUAUUUGAUGAAGAAUACUAAUUGGAUAACCGUAGUAAUUCUAGAGCUAAUACAUGUAUAAAGUCUUGUAGACUGCAUUUAUUAGAAUGAAACCCAUAGGUUUCGGCCUAUUCGUGAGUAUUAUUAACUAUUCAUAUCCUAUGCUUAUGUAACGAGGUGUCUUUCAAGUUUCUGCCCUUCAGCUU